rnacentral:tRNA from 1 species
GUCCCGGUAGCUCAGUUGGUAGAGCACAUGACUGUUAAUCAUGGGGUCAGAGGUUCGAGUCCUCUCCGGGACG